rnacentral:rRNA from 1 species
GACGUAGGGGGCGAGCGUUGUCCGGAUUUAUUGGGCGUAAAGAGCGCGUAGGCGGCCCGGUAAGUCGGAUGUGAAAACCCGCGGCUUAACCGUGGGCUUGCAGCCGAUACGGGCAGGCUAGAGUUCGGUAGGGGAGUCUGGAAUUCCUGGUGUAGCGGUGAAAUGCGCAGAUAUCAGGAGGAACACCGGUGGCGAAGGCGGGACUCUGGGCCGAUACUGACGCUGAGGAGCGAAAGCGUGGGGAGCGAACAGG